rnacentral:rRNA from 1 species
UACGUAGGGUGCAAGCGUUAAUCGGAAUCACUGGGCGUAAAGGGCGCGUAGGCGGCCAAGCAAGUCCUGGGUGAAAUCCCUCGGCUCAACCGAAGAACUGCCUCGGAAACUGCAUGGCUCGAGGCCGGGAGAGGGUAGCGGAAUUCCCAGUGUAGCGGUGAAAUGCGUAGAUAUUGGGAGGAACACCGGUGGCGAAGGCGGCUACCUGGACCGGUUCUGACGCUGAUGCGCGAAAGCGUGGGGAGCAAACAGG